AAAAGACUUGAUGUUUAAUUCAUAAGAAAACAAUGACAUACUAAUAGUCAGCAAAUACUUAGUGCAAACCCAUUGCUAGUUAUUACUAUCAUACCAUAACAAUUAGUAGUGAUUGAAUUAACCUAAAAGAAACUUGUCAGCACAUAUUAUGAUUUGUAACAACAGUUUCAAUGAAAUAAAUGUAAAAACACAUCCAAUGAAAACAAGGCUUACUAUCUUCCAUAGCAAUGAUUAUUUUAAAAAAAAAUUAUGAACAAAAAGUUCAUUUGGGAGGGUCAAAAUAGUGUCACAUUCAUAACUGAUCAGAUUACAAGUCAACAAAGAAUUGAUCAGAUUAUUUAAAGUCAGUAUAGUGUAACAAUCGAUCAGAUUAUUUAAAGUCAGUAUAGUGUAAUAAUUGAUCAGAUUAUUAAUAGU